AGCGUGCGCAGGCGGUUAUGUAAGACAGAUGUGAAAUCCCCGGGCCUCAACCUGGGAACUGCAUUAGUGACUGCAUAGCUGGAGUACGGCAGAGGGGGAUGGAAUUCCGCGUGUAGCAGUGAAAUGCGUAGAUAUGCGGAGGAACACCGAUGGCGAAGGCAAUCCCCUGGGCCUGUACUGACGCUCAUGCACGAAAGCGUGGGGAGCAAACAGGAUUAGAUACCCCCGGU
rnacentral:rRNA from 1 species